GAUGAAGAACGCAGCGAAAUGCGAUAAGUAAUGUGAAUUGCAGAAUUCAGUGAAUCAUCGAAUCUUUGAACGCACAUUGCGCCCGCCAGUAUUCUGGCGGGCAUGCCUGUUCGAGCGUCAUUUCAACCAUCAAGCCCCAGGCUUGUGUUGGGGACCUGCGGCUGCCGCAGGCCCUGAAAACCAGUGGCGGGCUCGCUGUCACACCGGGCGUCGUAGAUUUUAUCUCGCUCAGGGCGUGCUGCGGGUUCCGGCCGUUAAAAAGCCUUUUUUACCCAAGGUUGACCUCGGAUCAGGUAGGAAGACCCGCUGAACUUAAGCAUAUCAAUAAGCGGAGGA
rnacentral:misc_RNA from 1 species